AUUGAACGCUGGCGGCAGGCCUAACACAUGCAAGUCGAGCGGAUGAAGGGAGCUUGCUCUUCGAUUCAGCGGCGGACGGGUGAGUAAUGCCUAGGAAUCUGCCUGGUAGUGGGGGACAACGUUUCGAAAGGAACGCUAAUACCGCAUACGUCCUACGGGAGAACGCAGGGGACCUUCGGGCCUUGCGCUAUCAGAUGAGCCUAGGUCGGAUUAGCUAGUUGGUGAGGUAAUGGCUCACCAAGGCGACGAUCCGUAACUGGUCUGAGAGGAUGAUCAGUCACACUGGAACUGAGACACGGUCCAGACUCCUACGGGAGGCAGCAGUGGGGAAUAUUGGACAAUGGGCGAAAGCCUGAUCCAGCCAUGCCGCGUGUGUGAAGAAGGUCUUCGGAUUGUAAAGCACUUUAAGUUGGGAGGAAGGGCAGUAAGUUAAUACCUUGCUGUUUUGACGUUACCGACAGAAUAAGCACCGGCUAACUCUGUGCCAGCCGCCGCCGUAAGAC
rnacentral:rRNA from 1 species